GGGAAGAUGUGUUGAAAGCCUUUAUCUUUCAGUAAAGAAUUGGCCAUUUACCUCCUGUGAAAGAAUAGUCUGGAGAGCAAUUAUUUGUCAUCAUUGAGUUGAAUUAAGGUUACAUGCCCUUUUCAACUAGUUUUUUAAACUGAUUCAUCUUUCCUAAGAUCUGUUGGGAAGGCCUGUUCUGUUUCUUAUUUUAGGCUGCUUUUAGUUUGACAUGAGGUCUUUCAUCCAUCACUUUAAUUAUGUACCUUAUCUUAAGAAGAAGUUGGUGUUUAUGUUAAAAAUUUGAUUGCUGGUUAAUUGUAUUGUAAGACUCUUCAGUUUUUUCCCACAUUUAUC
rnacentral:lncRNA from 1 species